GCCCUCGUAGCUCAGAGGUAGAGCACCUCUUUGGUAAAGAGGAGGUCACGGGUUCAAUUCCCGUCGAGGGCUCCA
rnacentral:tRNA from 3 species